rnacentral:lncRNA from 1 species
AUGAAGUCAGUGGAAGGAUUUAUGACUUGUAGAUCGAUUGAUAAUUUCUAAAAGAUUUAAUCAAAUUUUUUAAAUUAUUAGGUCCAUAAAAUGAGCUAGUUAUGGGGAUAACUAGAUCAUAGCCUCCCAUUAAGGUGAAUGAUAAUAGAUCUAUUAUUUUUGAUUGACAUUGUAGGCACCAUCCAUCUGGUGUUCUCUCUGAAUGAUGGAAUUAUCAUUUAUCAUAUGAUGAUUCUGUUGAACUAUCUAAUAGUGGUCAGGU